rnacentral:rRNA from 1 species
AUUGAACGCUGGCGGCAGGCCUAACACAUGCAAGUCGAGCGGAUGAAGGGAGCUUGCUCCUGGAUUCAGCGGCGGACGGGUGAGUAAUGCCUAGGAAUCUGCCUGGUAGUGGGGGAUAACGUCCGGAAACGGGCGCUAAUACCGCAUACGUCCUGAGGGAGAAAGUGGGGGAUCUUCGGACCUCACGCUAUCAGAUGAGCCUAGGUCGGAUUAGCUAGUUGGUGGGGUAAAGGCCUACCAAGGCGACGAUCCGUAACUGGUCUGAGAGGAUGAUCAGUCACACUGGAACUGAGACACGGUCCAGACUCCUACGGGAGGCAGCAGUGGGGAAUAUUGGACAAUGGGCGAAAGCCUGAUCCAGCCAUGCCGCGUGUGUGAAGAAGGUCUUCGGAUUGUAAAGCACUUUAAGUUGGGAGGAAGGGCAGUAAGUUAACACCUUGCUGUUUUGACGUUACCAACAGAAUAAGCACCGGCUAACCUCGUG